AUCACUUUGGACUAGUUUUUUGGUUUUAAACUAGUCGGGGAGUAAUAAGAUCCCACAAAGUUAAAAUGUGUAAUAGAAAUUCGUCCCUUUUAUUUUCUUUUAACUGCAUAGUGUCUUUUUUAAUUUAACCUUCUUAUUUGUAUUUCAUAGUGUUUUUUUAUUUUAUUUAACCUUCUUAUUUUUAUUUUCUGCAAUUAAAUUAUACAAAAAAAUCUAAUUGUAUUCUUUGAACGUAAAUAAGGGCGUCCCUGGAAUAGAGGGGAUUACAGUCCCAAACCCUAACCAGCCGACUUUCCCCUCCAGGUUGAAAAUGAUGAUGCUUGCAUGCUGUGGCAUUGGUGUUAUAUUGAUAUAAGCGAUAUUUAUAGCCUGGGGUUGUCAAAAUUUGGUCUUUAUUGAAAUUUCAAGCCCUUUUGUUAUCUAAUUCAGGCAGCCAUGGAUGGAAAUGGCGGUAUGAAUAUACGAAAUUGGGGCUUUUUUGAGCCAACGGCAACAGUCCUGAAGGGACAUUUGGGCCUGCAACUCAUGUCCUCAAUGGACGAAAAGCCCCAUUUUGGCAACAUUUGCGAGAAUCACCAUCACCACCACCAACAACAACAAGCCCAUCAACCUGACCAUCCUACAGUUAUGGCGUUGACUAAUGGUGGUGCGUUUCAUCAUCAUCGGGUUUGUGGGCUCUCGGAGUCUCCCAUGCCAAUGGAUUACAUGAGGGAGAUGUGGGUUAAUCAUAAAGACUAUAGAGAGAAGUAUUUCAAUCUGUUAUCUGCAAACCACCACUAUCUUACAGGUUAUGGUUAUUUGCCUGAGACAUCUUCCACUCAGUCUAUGCAGAUGCACCAGCAGCCAAACUUGGUGAAAGUUGAAGCUGCUCCUUUGGUGGAGGAAGAGGUUUGCCAAGAAAUGGAUAUAGGCGGUCUUGCUAAGAAAAGGGGACCUGGUAAGUCCGAAGUGCUGAAGCCCCCUAAAACUAAGAAGGCCAAGAAAGCUACUAGGACUCCUAAAGGUGAGUCUACCCCUUCUGUUCCACGGGCAAGAGCUCCCAGGAAAAGUGCAGAAGUUGUAAUUAACGGGAUUAAUAUGGACAUUUCGGGAAUUCCUAUACCAAUCUGCUCAUGCACUGGGGCUGCUCAGCAGUGUUAUAGGUGGGGCUGUGGUGGGUGGCAGUCAGCUUGCUGUACCACCAAUUUGUCUUCGUAUCCCUUGCCUAUGAAUGUAAAACGGCGUGGUUCAAGGAUAGCAGGUCGGAAGAUGAGUUUGGGAGCGUUUAAGAAGGUUCUAGAGAAACUGGCCUCAGAAGGAUAUAACUUUUCUAAUCCAAUUGAUCUGAAGCCACACUGGGCAAAGCAUGGUACAAACAAGUUUGUCACUAUCAGAUAGAUGUAUGGUGGAAUAUGCUAGCAGUUCUCCUUAACAUAGGCACGAUGCGUUUCUGGUGUACAUAGUUGACUAUAGCUUGGACUGAGGCUUGUCAGUUCACCUUUGUUGUCAACGCAGAUAGCACACUGACGGUAGUGGCAGAUUUUGAAAGUUGCAGAGGAGGUACAUUUGUUAUGCAAUUGCGGGUUCUUAAUUCACUUAUUUCUGAUGAUCUUUGAAUGGAAAAUUUUGCAUUCUUUUAUUUUUUAUUACCCAGAUGUUGUCUUUCUAGCUGUUGCUUCAUGUUAGAUCUUUUUUAUCUUCCUACGAGGGAAUCCUUAUAUUUGAUCAACUAAAUGCCUAUGUCCUGCACUACUCUGGUUGAAUGUUAUUAAACCUGCGUUUGGUCGCUGUCCUUUUCAAAUGGGAAAUUCCUUUUGACCUGA